rnacentral:rRNA from 1 species
GAUGAACGCUGGCGGCGUGCCUAAUACAUGCAAGUCGAGCGGUCGGACGAGAAGCUUUCCUCUCGGGUGUUAACCGCGGGCGGGUUACUAACACGUGUGUAACCUACCGAGAAGACUGGGAGAACUUCGGGUAACCGUAGCUCAUACCGGAUAAUAUUUUGAACGGGAGGGUUUCAGAGUUCAAGCGGGUCUUGCUGUCACUUGUAGAUGGGUCCGCGCUGCGUUAGCAAGUUGGUAAGGUAAAGGCUUACCAAGGCAACGAUGCAUAGCCGACCUGAGAGGGUGAUCAGCCACACUGGAACUGAGACACGGCCCAGACUCCUACGGGAGGCAGCAGUAGGGAAUCUUCCACAAUGGGCGAAAGCCUGACGCAGCCAUGCCGCGUGAAUGAUGAAGGUCUUCGGAUUGUAAACCGCUGUUAUUCGGAACGAAAAUCUGCGCAAGAAACUGGGCACAUCUUGACGGUACCGAAUCAGAAAGCACCAGCUAACUACGUG